rnacentral:rRNA from 1 species
CAGAGGUCUCGUUGGUGACCAGCGGAGGGUCAUUACCGAGUUUACAACUCCCAAACCCAAUGUGAACGUUACCAAACUGUUGCCUCGGCGGGAUCUCUGCCCCGGGUGCGUCGCAGCCCCGGACCAAGGCGCCCGCCGGAGGACCAACCAAAACUCUUUUUGUAUACCCCCUCGCGGGUUUUUUUAUAAUCUGAGCCUUCUCGGCGCCUCUCGUAGGCGUUUCGAAAAUGAAUCAAAACUUUCAACAACGGAUCUCUUGGUUCUGGCAUCGAUGAAGAACGCAGCGAAAUGCGAUAAGUAAUGUGAAUUGCAGAAUUCAGUGAAUCAUCGAAUCUUUGAACGCACAUUGCGCCCGCCAGUAUUCUGGCGGGCAUGCCUGUCCGAGCGUCAUUUCAACCCUCGAACCCCUCCGGGGGGUCGGCGUUGGGGAUCGGCCCUGCCUCUUGGCGGUGGCCGUCUCCGAAAUACAGUGGCGGUCUCGCCGCAGCCUCUCCUGCGCAGUAGUUUGCACACUCGCAUCGGGAGCGCGGCGCGUCCACAGCCGUUAAACACCCAACUUCUGAAAUGUUGACCUCGGAUCAGGUAGGAAUACCCGCUGAACUUAAGCAUACUAA